AGAGUUUGAUCAUGGCUCAGGAUGAACGCUAGCUACAGGCUUAACACAUGCAAGUCGAGGGGAAACGACAUCGAAAGCUUGCUUUUGAUGGGCGUCGACCGGCGCACGGGUGAGUAACGCGUAUCCAACCUGCCCACCACUUGGGGAUAACCUUGCGAAAGUAAGACUAAUACCCAAUGACGUCUCUAGAAGACAUCUGAAAGAGAUUAAAGAUUUAUCGGUGAUGGAUGGGGAUGCGUCUGAUUAGCUUGUUGGCGGGGUAACGGCCACCAAGGCGACGAUCAGUAGGGGUUCUGGAGAGGAACGGUCCCCACAUUGGAACUGAGACACGGUCCAACUCCUACGAGAGGCA
rnacentral:rRNA from 1 species